GUCUCUCUCUUGAUCCAGAGCCCCUGGCCAUGCAGUUGUGAGGCAGAUGCAGGAGCCCAGCUUCCCAUGUCUGAGGUACCUGUUGGCCUGUGACACACACUCCCAGCUCUUCCUGUCCCACUUGCAGGGACACAGCGCUGUCUUCUGGGACGGGGACAAGGACGACAGGAACUACAGUGUGGUGAACGUAGAGAAGGGU